UACGAAGGGGGCUAGCGUUGUUCGGAUUUACUGGGCGUAAAGCGCACGUAGGCGGAUCUUUAAGUCAGAGGUGAAAUCCCAAGGCUCAACCUUGGAACUGCCUUUGAUACUGGGGAUCUUGAGUCCGGGAGAGGUGAGUGGGACUGCGAGUGUAGAGGUGAAAUUCGUAGAUAUUCGCAAGAACACCAGUGGCGAAGGCGGCUCACUGGCCCGGUACUGACGCUGAGGUGCGAAAGCGUGGGGAGCAAACAGG
rnacentral:rRNA from 1 species